rnacentral:rRNA from 1 species
UUAAGCGACUAAGCGUACACGGUGGAUGCCCUGGCAGUCAGAGGCGAUGAAGGACGUGCUAAUCUGCGAAAAGCGUCGGUAAGGUGAUAUGAACCGUUAUANCACUAUCGUUAACUGAAUACAUAGGUUAACGAGGCGAACCGGGGGAACUGAAACAUCUAAGUACCCCGAGGAAAAGAAAUCAACCGAGAUUCCCCCAGUAGCGGCGAGCGAACGGGGAGCAGCCCAGAGUCUGAAUCAGCUUGUGUGUUAGUGGAACGGUCUGGAAAGUCCGACGGUACAGGGUGAUAGUCCCGUACACCAAAAUGCACAGGUUGUGAACUCGAAGAGUAGGGCGGGACACGUGGUAUCCUGUCUGAAUAUGGGGGGACCAUCCUCCAAGGCUAAAUACUCCUGACUGACCGAUAGUGAACCAGUACCGUGAGGGAAAGGCGAAAAGAACCCCGGCGAGGGGAGUGAAAAAGAACCUGAAACCGUGUACGUACAAGCAGUGGGAGCACCUUUAUGGUGUGACUGCGUACCUUUUGUAUAAUGGGUCAGCGACUUAUAUUCUGUAGCAAGGUUAACCGUAUAGGGGAGCCGCAGGGAAACCGAGUCUUAACUGGGCGUUAAGUUGCAGGGUAUAGACCCGAAACCCGGUGAUCUAGCCAUGGGCAGGUUGAAGGUUGGGUAACACUAACUGGAGGACCGAACCGACUAAUGUUGAAAAAUUAGCGGAUGACUUGUGGCUGGGGGUGAAAGGCCAAUCAAACCGGGAGAUAGCUGGUUCUCCCCGAAAGCUAUUUAGGUAGCGCCUCGUGAACUCAUCUUCGGGGGUAGAGCACUGUUUCGGCUAGGGGGUCAUCCCGACUUACCAACCCGAUGCAAACUACGAAUACCGAAGAAUGUUAUCACGGGAGACACACGGCGGGUGCUAACGUCCGUCGUGAAGAGGGAAACAACCCAGACCGCCAGCUAAGGUCCCAAAGUCAUGGUUAAGUGGGAAACGAUGUGGGAAGGCACAGACAGCCAGGAUGUUGGCUUAGAAGCAGCCAUCAUUUAAAGAAAGCGUAAUAGCUCACUGGUCGAGUCGGCCUGCGCGGAAGAUGUAACGGGGCUAAACCAUGCACCGAAGCUGCGGCAGCGACACUAUGUGUUGUUGGGUAGGGGAGCGUUCUGUAAGCCUGCGAAGGUGGCCUGUGAGGGUCGCUGGAGGUAUCAGAAGUGCGAAUGCUGACAUAAGUAACGAUAAAGCGGGUGAAAAGCCCGCUCGCCGGAAGACCAAGGGUUCCUGUCCAACGUUAAUCGGGGCAGGGUGAGUCGACCCCUAAGGCGAGGCCGAAAGGCGUAGUCGAUGGGAAACAGGUUAAUAUUCCUGUACUUGGUGUUACUGCGAAGGGGGGACGGAGAAGGCUAUGUUAGCCGGGCGACGGUUGUCCCGGUUUAAGCAUGUAGGCUGNUUAUCCAGGCAAAUCCGGAUAAUCAAGGCUGAGGUGUGAUGACGAGGCACUACGGUGCUGAAGUAACAAAUGCCCUGCUUCCAGGAAAAGCCUCUAAGCAUCAGGUAACAUCAAAUCGUACCCCAAACCGACACAGGUGGUCAGGUAGAGAAUACCAAGGCGCUUGAGAGAACUCGGGUGAAGGAACUAGGCAAAAUGGUGCCGUAACUUCGGGAGAAGGCACGCUGGUGUGUAGGUGAAGCCCCUGCGGGUGGAGCUGAGACCAGUCGAAGAUACCAGCUGGCUGCAACUGUUUAUUAAAAACACAGCACUGUGCAAACACGAAAGUGGACGUAUACGGUGUGACGCCUGCCCGGUGCCGGAAGGUUAAUUGAUGGGGUUAUCCGUAAGGAGAAGCUCUUGAUCGAAGCCCCGGUAAACGGCGGCCGUAACUAUAACGGUCCUAAGGUAGCGAAAUUCCUUGUCGGGUAAGUUCCGACCUGCACGAAUGGCGUAAUGAUGGCCAGGCUGUCUCCACCCGAGACUCAGUGAAAUUGAACUCGCUGUGAAGAUGCAGUGUACCCGCGGCAAGACGGAAAGACCCCGUGAACCUUUACUAUAGCUUGACACUGAACAUUGAGCCUUGAUGUGUAGGAUAGGUGGGAGGCUUUGAAGCGUGGACGCCAGUCUGCGUGGAGCCAACCUUGAAAUACCACCCUUUAAUGUUUGAUGUUCUAACGUUGGCCCCUGACCGGGGUUGCGGACAGUGUCUGGUGGGUAGUUUGACUGGGGCGGUCUCCUCCCAAAGCGUAACGGAGGAGCACGAAGGUUAGCUAAUCCUGGUCGGACAUCAGGAGGUUAGUGCAAUGGCAUAAGCUAGCUUGACUGCGAGCGUGACGGCGCGAGCAGGUGCGAAAGCAGGUCAUAGUGAUCCGGUGGUUCUGAAUGGAAGGGCCAUCGCUCAACGGAUAAAAGGUACUCCGGGGAUAACAGGCUGAUACCGCCCAAGAGUUCAUAUCGACGGCGGUGUUUGGCACCUCGAUGUCGGCUCAUCACAUCCUGGGGCUGAAGUAGGUCCCAAGGGUAUGGCUGUUCGCCAUUUAAAGUGGUACGCGAGCUGGGUUUAGAACGUCGUGAGACAGUUCGGUCCCUAUCUGCCGUGGGCGCUGGAGAAUUGAGGGGGGCUGCUCCUAGUACGAGAGGACCGGAGUGGACGCAUCACUGGUGUUCGGGUUGUCAUGCCAAUGGCACUGCCCGGUAGCUAAAUGCGGAAGAGAUAAGUGCUGAAAGCAUCUAAGCACGAAACUUGCCCCGAGAUGAGUUCUCCCUGAGACUUUAAGUCUCCUGAAGGAACGUUGAAGACGACGACGUUGAUAGGCCGGGUGUGUAAGCGCAGCGAUGCGUUGAGCUAACCGGUACUAAUGAACCGUGAGGCUUAACCUU